rnacentral:rRNA from 1 species
CGGGGUGAGUAACGCGUGGGCAACCUGCCUUAUACAGGGGGAGUAACAGCUGGAAACAGCUGCUAAUACCGCAUAAGCGCACAGUGCUGCAUGGUACAGUGUGAAAAACUGAGGUGGUAUAAGAUGGGCCCGCGUCUGAUUAGCUGGUUGGGAGGGUAACGGCCUACCAAGGCGACGACCAGUAGCCGGCCUGAGAGGGCGGACGGCCACAUUGGGACUGAGACACGGCCCAGACUCCUACGGAAGGCAGCAG